AGAGUUUGAUCAUGGCUCAGGAUGAACGCUAGCGGCAGGCCUAACACAUGCAAGUCGAGGGGUAACAGGUAAAAAGCUUGCUUUUUAUGCUGACGACCGGCGCACGGGUGAGUAACGCGUAUGCAACCUACCUUUACCUGGAGGACAGCCCCGAGAAAUCGGGAUUAAUACUCCAUAAUAUUGUUGAUAUCGCAUGAUAUUAUAAUUAAAGCUUCGGCGGUUAAAGAUGGGCAUGCGUGACAUUAGUUUGUUGGUAAGGUAACGGCUUACCAAGACUUCGAUGUCUAGGGGUUCUGAGAGGAUUGUCCCCCACACUGGUACUGAGACACGGACCAGACUCCUACGGGAGGCAGCAGUGAGGAAUAUUGGUCAAUGGUCGAAAGACUGAACCAGCCAUGCCGCGUGCAGGAUGACGGCGCUAUGCGUUGUAAACUGCUUUUCUACAGGAAGAAACCUACUUACGUGUAAGUAGCUGCCG
rnacentral:rRNA from 1 species